UACAGAGGGUGCAAGCGUUAAUCGGAUUUACUGGGCGUAAAGCGCGCGUAGGCGGCUAAUUAAGUCAAAUGUGAAAUCCCCGAGCUUAACUUGGGAAUUGCAUUCGAUACUGGUUAGCUAGAGUGUGGGAGAGGAUGGUAGAAUUCCAGGUGUAGCGGUGAAAUGCGUAGAGAUCUGGAGGAAUACCGAUGGCGAAGGCAGCCAUCUGGCCUAACACUGACGCUGAGGUGCGAAAGCAUGGGGGAGCAAACAGG
rnacentral:rRNA from 1 species